UACGUAGGGACCAAGCGUUGUUCGGAUUUACUGGGCGUAAAGGGCGCGUAGGCGGCGAAUUAAGUCAGCUGUGAAAUCUCCGAGCUUAACUCGGAACUGUCAGCUGAUACUGAUGUGCUAGAGUGCGGAAGGGGCAAUCGGAAUUCUUGGUGUAGCGGUGAAAUGCGUAGAGAUCCGGAAGAACACCGGUGGCGAAGGCGGCCUGCUGGGCAGUAGCUGACACUGAGGCGCGACAGCGUGGGGAGCAAACAGG
rnacentral:rRNA from 1 species